rnacentral:misc_RNA from 1 species
UAAAAUUAAAAAUUUAGUUUUUUUUUAUCAGAAAAUUAAAAAUUUAGUUAUUAGCAAUACAAGAAGCUAUUGGUAUUUAGAAUUCCCUGAAGGGAUCUUGAUCAGACAAAUGAGAAGCUUUAAGCUUAUAGAGAGUGAUAAUCCAUUUGUUCCAACAAAAGUUUAGGCAGAGAUUUAUAUUUUUCUAAUUUAUUAUAUAAUAUAUAUUCUUGGUAGAUAAGCCAUCUGGUAAUAUGGAGGGGAGAUACAAGAAAGCAAUGAAAGGAACAAUUGAGGAAGUAAAACGUCUUCCUCACCAGCAAGCUCCUUGAGCAACUUUGAUUAUUGCCUUUCUGACUUUCUAUCUAGGACCUCUUUUACCCACCCAUUCUCCUUUUUCCACUGCCUGGUAAACUGGUAUUGUUGUUUGUUGAUUUUGUUGUACUCCAUUUUGUAGUUUUCAUGUUUCAUGUUAAAGAUCGCAAAACUGAUAUUUCCACUUGACCAAAAGCAUCUUAGAUGAAAUCACUACAGUGUUCACCAAUUCUGACUUCUGGGUUAUUUGGCUAGUCCAAAAAUUCUGAUUCUUGUUUGAUUAACUGUGAAUACAAUCCAUCUUUGAGUAGAAGUUCUCUGUGGUUACCCAUCUGCAAAAACACAAAUCGCCAAUGAAGUCAUGCACAUGACUUCACGUUAAGCAUGUCCGCAUGCUAUUAGUGAAGAUAAGGUAGGUCUAGUAUUUUAAAGAACUUGAGCAUUUCAGUUUCAUCUGUGCUUCUUCAAAAUAACAGGGCUAUGUUGAUCAGUAAGAAUGCAUUACCUCCACAAUUCGGCCCCCAUCCAUUACAAUGAUCCUAUCAGCAGCUUUUAUGGUAGAAAGCCUGAAAAUUUUUGUCCCGAUGAGGAAAUAAUCUCACAACUUGAACGACAGAAUGACAACGGGUGAGAGGAAAGACCUAUGUGCUAUGACAAUGAUAGUUCUCUUUUCCUUGUCCUCAUUUUUGAACGCUUGAAGAACCUCCUAAACAUGCAAUGUAGCAGCAGAUCAUGUAUUAGUGAGACUGCACUAUCACUGAACUCGGUAUAAUGCUGCUCCUCUCUUGAAAUAGUGUUCACUUUCUGGAUCCAGAGCACUUGUAGCUUCAUCAAAAAUCAGAAUCACAGGGUUCCUAAGAAUGGCUCUUGCAAUAGCAAUUCGCUGCUUCUGUCCACCACUUAGCAAGUCAUCAUCAAUAAGGGUUCCAUAACCAUCAGGAAGUGAUAAAAUGAAUUGAUGAGCAUGGGCUAGCUUUGCAGCACAUUCUAUGUCUUCCUGCUUAAUGUCUCGAUGGCAUCCAUAUGUAAUGUUUGACUUGACAUCAGCGUGGAAGAGCUCUGGCUCCUGCCUGUCCAACAUAUCCUAUGUUUUCUUUGAGCCACCUCAUAUCCAAUUCUCUCAGAGGAAAACCAUCGACAUAAAUCUGACCAUUAAUUGGUUCAUAAAGACGAAGCAAGAGAUUAACUAGCGUGGUUUUUCCACUGCCACUGAGUCCAACCAGUGCAACCACUUCAUUUGCUUCUAUAGAAAGGUGCAAGUGUUCUAGAAUGGGUACCUGUUCAGAUAAAAGAGAAAUUUUGAGAACAAUGAUUGUGUUACAUAAGAAAUGCAGAAGACCAAAUAACAUCACAGAAAGACAUAAACUUGUGUUGUCUUCCACAUGAGGAAGAGGAAGAGGUCCAAAUCGAUUCACAACCAUCUCUCUGAUAUAAUUCUAACCAAGUAGAAAAGAGUUAGCUGAGGGGCAAAUUUGCAAAUGCAAGUCAAUUGAAGCAAGGACAAAACAACAAAAUUGCAACAAAUUUGUAAAAAAAUACCUAGAUCAAUACAAGGAGUUAAAGCAAUUAUGUCAUGCAAUAUUUGUGCAGCAUGUGAGGUACACCAUAUUUGGUUUGUGCCAAUUAACUGCUAUAGAACUGUUUAUGUGAGAGUAGAAGUUUCUAAAUUCAAUUAUGUGGUUCAGAUUUAUGAAAUACAGGAUUGCUAAUCAUUUCUAUUUCUUUGGUAGCCCUUGCAUUUUUUUUAAGCCGACAACCAGGUACUUUCACUGCAACACAGUCAUUAAUUUCUAAAACGAAGAGAGUCUAGUAUACAUAAAACAUAAAUACACAUUAUCUUUUAGACAGUAGAUAAAUCUAAUAUGAAAAUGAUCUAUAACACAAACUUUUUAAAAUAUCUACAACACAGCCACAAUAACCAUUUGUGAAAUCAAGAAGUAUGUUACAUGCUUUACUAAUUUCACCUGGCUUGAUUACAUUUAAGAUUGGAAAUAGCUUUAUAGAAUGCUUGUAGCACAGAAACAGAAAAAUACAAAUAUUUCUAACUUGACAAGACCUGGUACUUACUUUUGGCCUUGAAGGAUAGUGAAAAGAUACAUCUACAAAAUGGAUUUGUCCCAUUAGCCUUUGCAAUUUCAUGCCAUUGGACAGGAAUUGGUUGCUGGGUGAGAGCUGUAUUAACUGGAAAACUUUUUCACUUGCUCCAAUGGCCUGCAGCAAUGAUAAGCUGUUGUCCACCACCCUCCAGGUUGCAUAAAUUAGCCACUCACAGUAUAAUAUGUAUUUUGUAAGUUGUUCAGUUGAUACACGUCCUGUCGUAAUUGACAUUCCUCCUAACAACACUGCUAAAACCUGAGUUGAACGAUAAAGGGUGUGAAAGCUCAUAUUCCAGAAUCCAUAAACCACACUUUCUCGAAAACUAAUAAAAGCUAACUUCUCCAACCAAUGCUUGUACCUUCCAAAUUCUUUUCUCUCUGUUCCAUAAACCCUGACAGUUCUUAUCAAGCAGAGCGUCUCUUCUGCAAUCUCAUUGGCACAAGCAGUGGCAUCCUGAGUCAAUUUGGCAGCUAUCUUCUGAUACCUGGCAAAAAUACGAAAGACAAUAGCCAGAACAGAGCAUAUGACAAGUGAUGACAAUGCAAGAGGCCCAGAUAAACACAGUAAAUUGAUCAAAGCACCUGUCCCCUGAAGGGCAUUGCGUACUAUCAAAUGGAUAUUAUUUCCAAUAACAUGUGAAAGUCGUUGACAAUCUGACCCUAGCCUGCUUGUCAAGCCACCAACUUCUUCUGUAUCAAAAAAGGUUAUAUCCUGAAAAAUAAGAGCUGAAUAUAAAGUUUCUCUGAGACGAUUAACCAGAAUCAUAUUUGCAAUUGCAAAACAUCCACUUCGCAAACCACUGCUUAUUCCUGAAGUCAAGCACAACAUCGCCAACAAAUGUGCAUUCCUAGAGAACGCCAUGGCCUCACCAUUAUUAUCCACUGGUCAUUUCCAAGCAAUUCCCACAUUCGAAGAAGAGCAUCCCUCACUGUAACCGGAUUCCCUGCGCCACCCUCUUCUUCCUUAGAAUCACACAAUCUCCACCAACUGCCGCCGGGCAAAACGGAGCCUAUGUAACUAAUAAAAUUUUGAAAUUUUUCCAAUAAUUUCACUUUCCUGGUGUCUCUGUUUUCCUGCGGUUCAUCCAGCUGGAUACCUAAUGCUUUACAGGGGAAUUUAAAGCCGCGAUAUCUGAUUCUGCAAGAAGAAUUCAGAGGGAAUUGGAAUUUGAAUUGGGAAUCAGUUCUUGUGGCAAUACACGGCUUUUCUGGAUUGAAAACGGCGAGAGAUCUUUUGCCGCCAUUAAGAGAGUAAAGAUUUAAGGGAGGGAUGGCCAUUGAAAGCGCAUGAAGCUUCACAGAGCUACACCAUUAUGGCAGUAGCUUUGGUUUGGGGUCUCAAACGACGUCGGUUUAUUUAUCGGAAGAGCAGUGGACGCGACAAAUCAGCUUGAACGAAUAACUUUAUGCCACGUCAUAAACUCGCAUUAGCUUCUCAGCGUUCUCUGCAACUUUGGUUCCUGAUAGCUUCUUCCAGUUCUUGGAGCUUCUUCUGAUGAUCGAAUUUGAAGUUAUAGCAAAAACAGGGAUCUUUGUUCAAUGAUGGCCCAGACUGAAACGGAGAAGGAGACAGCGACAGGGACAGGGACCCCCAAGAUGAAGCCAAGACCAAUCGUGCGUCUCGGGAUCUUCCUCAUCUCUCACAGCUUCCUUGUUAGUGUCGUUUGUUGUACGGCUGGGGUUUUAGCUCUCUUGCUACUGCCAGUGCUCGCCAAGAACACUUACAUCUCCGAAAAUGCUCUCAUGCCUGGUUCUGCAAGUUCUUUGCUUUCGAAUCAUGACAUUGCGGAGGCAAAUAGAUUGGUGAAUGAAUUAAGAAGCUUGAAUUUGGAACGCAAGGACGCAGGCAUUGAAAGUCAAAAGAUCUUAGCAAGGUAUAUGUCAGAUUUGGGUGCUGAAGUUAGUUAUCACAAGUUCCAUCCACCACAGAAUCAUUUUCAUCCAUUGCAUUUCUUCUCUAGCCCUCAUUCUGGGAUAAUAGGAGAGAACUUUAGUUGUUCAUCUUAUGGUGUCAAUACAGUUGGAAUAAUAAGAUCACCUCGUGGUGAUGGUAAGGAAGCUAUUGUCUUGGUGACACCUUACAAUUUUGGAAGGAGUGAUUCAAGUGAAACUUUAUCAUUGAGCAUUGCAUACUCUGUAUUUUCCUUGCUCAGUCGAGUUACAUGGCUGGCGAAGGAUAUUAUUUGGCUGAUCGCUGAUUCACAGUAUGGUGAACAUGAGUCUGUUGCUGCUUGGCUAAGAGAUUAUCACACACCAUCAUUUACUGGUUUAGUUUCCCUAAAUGCUGAUGCAUGUGUUGAAGGCAAUAAUCUUUAUAUAUCAAAGGAUAAUUCUGUUGUGCAAGGAAAGAUAUCUGAUGGUUUUGGACGUGCUGGGACAAUGGCUGCUGCCCUGGUUUUAAAGGUUACAGAUAGAAAUGGUCUUUGGGAUGACACUCUUAGUAUCUAUGCUGAGGCAUCCAAUGGGCAGAUGCCCAACCUAGACCUCAUCAAUAUUGUGAAUUAUUUAGCUGUACAUAGGCAAGGUUUGCUUGUACAGAUUCAGAAAUUUUGGUCUGAUCUUGAUUUAAAAUGGCUGGAGUUUUUGGGAAAAACAUUUGAAUUACUAGGGAAAGUGGCCAGAAGUUUAAAUCCCAACUGGAAAUUUGGUAUUCCAGCUUCAGAUUAUAUCGAAGGCACUACUACACUUGCAAGUUCAUUGUAUUACCAGGCACUAGGUAUUCCCACAGGUCCCCAUGGUGCUUUCCGUGAUUUCCAAGUUGAUGCAAUUACUUUGGAGAUCUCACCCAGAGUUUCUUCUAAUAACAAAGCCAGGCGUAAUGAGUUUCUUCUGCGAGGUGGAAGGUUGAUUGAAGGAGUUAUAAGAUCAGUAAAUAAUCUCCUCGAGAAGUUUCACCAGUCAUUUUUUCUAUAUCUCUUAACAUCUCCCAGUAAGUUUGUGUCAGUUGGAGUCUACAUGAUUGCUUUUGCACUCCUUGUAGCUCCACUUCCCCUGGUUGCUGCGUCCCUUUAUGCUGAUGCUAAUGAAUUGGAUUUUGGCAUGAAAAAUGACAAAUAUACUCCUAUAGACACUGCAUCAAAUGAGAUAGACAUAACUUUCAGGUCAUGGAAAUGGCUCAGUGCAGCAAAAGAAGUGUUUGUCGUUCAUAUAUGGGGUGUGAUAGUUUUGUUGCUUCCAUAUUUCAUUUGUCAAAUGCGUGAUUGGAGCCCAACAACCAGUUUUGUUUCCUGGGUAUUUCUUGCAAUGCUUAGCCUCCUAAUCUUGUACCUGAUCUUAGGUUCACCAUUUUCUCAUGGCUAUUCAUUGGAGAAAGGGGAAUGGGCUAUGUUAAAAUCAGUGACUAUCUCAGCCGUUUUCAUUGGUUUGCUGCUCAUGUCAGUUGUUAAUUUUGCUACAGCAGAAAUUGGGGCAUUACUAAUGGUGCCAAUGUGUUUGAUGGCUCAACCAUUGAAGCCUGACAUUAGAGCUGCAAGUUUGAGGAGCUUCUUCAGGGUUAUUUGUAACCUGGUUUUGGGUUUUGUUGCAUUUCCACCAGUUACAUUUUUUAUGUUAAAGGGUAUAUUUGAAGGUCCUGACUGCAUUAACCUUGGUGACUUCUGGAAUUGGUUGGAGUCUCUUUGGGCUUGGAACAGUGCUACUUACAUCUAUAUAGGUAUGGUCCACCUACCGUGUUGGGUGUUAUGCAUACACAUUUUACUUCAUUCUUGUUGACACAUUUUCUCAGUUUUGUCUGUUACGUAUGAACUAAACAUGCAAAUCAGUAGAUUAAAGAAAAUUUUCCUUCUAUGUUCUGUCAUCUUUAAAUUGCUUGCUAGUAAUUGAUUUGCAUGGAAGGUGUUUUCCCCAUUUAUUGUUAUUAUUAUUUAAAUUUUUUCUUUGGAAGACAUGCUGUACCGUUAUUGUAUUGAAGUAUCACUGAACAACAAAUAGCUGGC